UGGGGAAUAUUGCACAAUGGGCGCAAGCCUGAUGCAGCCAUGCCGCGUGUGUGAAGAAGGCCUUCGGGUUGUAAAGCACUUUCAGCGGGGAGGAAGGCGAUAAGGUUAAUAACCUUGUCGAUUGACGUUACCCGCAGAAGAAGCACCGGCUAACUCCGUGCCAGCAGCCGCGGUAAUACGGAGGGUGCAAGCGUUAAUCGGAAUUACUGGGCGUAAAGCGCACGCAGGCGGUCUGUCAAGUCGGAUGUGAAAUCCCCGGGCUCAACCUGGGAACUGCAUUCGAAACUGGCAGGCUAGAGUCUUGUAGAGGGGGGUAGAAUUCCAGGUGUAGCGGUGAAAUGCGUAGAGCUCUGGAGGAAUACCGGUGGCGAAGGCGGCCCCCUGGACAAAGACUGACGCUCAGGUGCGAAAGCGUGGGGAGCAAACAGG
rnacentral:rRNA from 1 species